UACCUCAGUAACGGCGAGUGAAGCGGUAACAGCUCAAAUUUGAAAUCUGGCCUCACGGUCCGAGUUGUAAUUUGUAGAGGAUGCUUCGAGCAUGGUCUGGCCUAAGUUCCUUGGAACAGGACGUCAUAGAGGGUGAGAAUCCCGUAUGCGGUCAGGUGCCUACGCUCAUGUGAAGCUCCUUCGACGAGUCGAGUUGUUUGGGAAUGCAGCUCAAAAUGGGUGGUAAAUUUCAUCUAAAGCUAAAUAUUGGCCAGAGACCGAUAGCGCACAAGUAGAGUGAUCGAAAGAUGAAAAGCACUUUGGAAAGAGAGUUAAACAGUACGUGAAAUUGUUGAAAGGGAAGCGCUUGCAACCAGACUUGCGCGCGGCCGAUCAUCCGGUGUUCUCACCGGUGCACUCGGCCGUGCUCAGGCCAGCAUCGGUUUCGGCGGUUGGAUAAAGGCCUCAGGAAUGUGGCUCCUCUCGGGGAGUGUUAUAGCCUGGGGUGCAAUGCAGCCUGCUGGGACCGAGGACCGCGCUUCGGCUAGGAUGCUGGCGUAAUGGU
rnacentral:rRNA from 1 species